rnacentral:rRNA from 1 species
UAACCUGCCCAAGAGAUCGGGAUAACACCUGGAAACAGAUGCUAAUACCGGAUAACAACAGAUGAUGCCUAUCAACUGUUUAAAAGAUGGUUCUGCUAUCACUCUUGGAUGGACCUGCGGUGCAUUAGCUAGUUGGUAGGGUAACGGCCUACCAAGGCGAUGAUGCAUAGCCGAGUUGAGAGACUGAUUGGCCACAUUGGGACUGAGACACGGCCCAAACUCCUACGGGAGGCAGCAGGC